CAUCCCCAAUACUCCUGUGUGCAUCCCCGGUGCUGCUGUGUGCAUUCUUGGUGCUCCCGUGCUCAUCCUUGGUGCUCCUCCUGUGUGCAUCCUGGUGCUCCCGAGUGAGUCACACACAUUUCCACGGCCACCCCUCUCAGCUGUAUUUUUACUCUCUGCUUCCAUGGUGACCAGUCUAGAUGGAGGAGCCCUCCACUGUGGAUCCUUGUGUGUGCAGGCUCAGGGAAGUCCAGGCUCCAGUCACCCCUGCUGAAUGAAAACACAGCUCACUCUCACCUUCCUCAGACCAAAAUCUGCAUGAGUCCGAGUUCUCCAGAGAAAUAGACCGAGAGAGAGAGAGAGAGAGAGAUUGAUUUCAGAGAAUUUUUUCACUCCUUUGUGGGGCUGGGAAAUCUGAAGUCUGCAGACCAGCAGGCUGGAAAUUCAGUUUUCCAGCUCUGCCCCCGUCUUUGCCACUAAAUCUGCAGUGUCUAUUGCUGGCCGUGGUCUCCCCGCUCCAGACGCCUUUCUGCCUGCAUUGAGGAGAGAGACACUGACCCUGAUGGGAAGCUUCCACACAUGUGCAGGGGGCCCGCCCGUGGUGAGGUCUCUGCAGCAUGAUGGGGCUGGAAGCUGGCGGCUUUGUUGUGGUUAUCUAUAAAUCUUCUGUUUGGGAACAGCCAGGCCUUUUCCUGAGUGGUCAAGUUUUCAUUUUAGAGAGGAUUAGGAGAGAGAAGGAAUGAACACUGUGUGAGGUCCGCCAUGUUUAACCAGAAGUCCCUGUUAUCUGCUUAAUGACACCUUUCCAGAAGAAGAAUUGCUGGGUCAAAAGCCAUGCGUGUUUCACACGGCGAGUCGCGUUAAACUGUCCACCGGAAAAGUGCACUGACUUUUUUUAGCAGCAAGUAAGCGGGAGGGUUGCUCUUAUUUUAUAAAUGCUAUUUUUCUUUUGUAUGAUAAAAGAGACUUAUUUUUGAGGCAACACAUGAUGACACCAGCGUAUUUUAAUUGGUACACUUCAUUAUAGAGCAUCAGAAAAAUAAAAUCAGUGUGACGAGGCAGCAGCCCCAGAAGGCGGCCACUCAUUGCAGCCACUGCCGGCCUGUGCUUUGUGAGCUGGACGGUUCUCUUGCCUCGUUCCAGCCUCAGUCUGCCUAAAAGUGGAUAUUCCAGACAGGAAAUGUGUCUAGCCUGAUGGUGAAGACUGUCUGGAGGAUGGUUGGUUUUGAGGGGGAUGAUGAUUUUGCAGGAAGGUUUCACAAAAUUUGUCCAAGGUGGAUUUCUGCUGUUGCUAAAUUUUCCUGGUGUGCUAGGCAGGACAAUGGUGGGAAAGUAAACCUGGAGUAAGAGAAAACACUCAGACUUCCCAAAGUAGACGAGAGAAACUUUGCGUUUUGCAAGGGAGGCGAGUGGAAGACCCUGUUGCAAUUGUCUUGUGUUUCCAUUUUGCUCAGUGAAGCCGAGUUUGCCCCGGGCCAACUGUGCUUGUCAGAUGUGUGUGCUGGGGUGGGGCACCGCCAUUAUUAAUGGCAUAAGGUGGUGGGGUACAGGCAGGAGCAACUUGGAAAUGGAAGCUCUGUGUCUUCCUUCGGGCAGCUGAUUGCACUGGCUUGUCGAGAAGGUGUGGGUGUCUGGAAAGCGCCUAUGAGGACCAGUAGUCAGGGGGCCAGCAGGAGCCACGGUGAAGAGAGACUGUUGCUAGUCAGGGAGCCGGCAGGAGCCACGGUGAAGAGAGACUGUUGCUCGGGGUCUCCCAGGAUAGACCGAGUUGGGAACUAACUAGGUGGUCCCCAUUGCCAUGGAGACAACCUUCCCAGACAGCGAUGGGGAAUGGUGAACAGUCCACGAGGGAGACGCCGAUUCAGGCUUCAGAUGCAAUUUCCUGGGAUCCCUCGCUUACAUUUUCUGCUCUUUGCUGAGUUCCGCUUUUCUCUCUAUGUCUCCUUUGUUUUCUAUUGUGUAUUCUCUCCUUCUGGGGAGGAAGUGUGGGAAGCAGUGAAGAGGUCCUGCUCUGGAGAUGAGGAGCCGGGUUGAAGGAAGAGUUGAGCACAGCGGACCUGGCAGGUGGGGGUGUCCAGAGAGGCUGUGGCUGUGCAGAGCAGCCGCCUGGGGGAGGCGUGCAGAAUUGAGUCUGAACACAUGGCCUUUCUGGUGCAUCCGGCUAGAUUGGGAAUGUGUUGGUCUAUCUCCCUUAGCAGCCCUGGUCCAAGGAGUACAAUCAGAGAGAUAUAAGCCAAUCACUCCAAGUUGUCAUCUUUCUCUUCACCGUGCCUGGAAGAGGAAGGUAACUGUUUUGGUUUGUUAGAAAAGAAAUACCAACCCAGCAGCUGAGAGAUUUCCCCAGUGGACAGGCCUGUGUUUGGGAAGGAAAGUUAAAGCCAGUGGAUUUCUAGUUCGCUUGUUUUCUCUAACAAGAUAUCAGAAGGGCUGCAGAAUCCAGUUAAUCCAUCCAGUGGUAUUUUUGAGAUGAGGUAGCAGGUGCUUCAGAGCCAGAAAGACAGACUGUGGGUGGCUCAUCCAGAGGCUCACUGAGGAUUCUGCACCACAGAUCUGUGUCCAGCAAACAAAGGAGCUGGGGUCAGAGCCAGUGAAACACAGGACCAUUCCCCA
rnacentral:lncRNA from 10 species